rnacentral:rRNA from 1 species
UACGUAGGGUGCGAGCGUUGUCCGGAAUUAUUGGGCGUAAAGAGCUCGUAGGCGGUCUGUCGCGUCGGCUGUGAAAACCCGGAGCUCAACUCCGGGCCUGCAGUCGAUACGGGCAGACUGGAGUUCGGCAGGGGAGACUGGAAUUCCUGGUGUAGCGGUGAAGUGCGCAGAUAUCAGGAGGAACACCGGUGGCGAAGGCGGGUCUCUGGGCCGAUACUGACGUGAGGAGCGAAAGCGUGGGGAGCGAACAGG